CCAACACUUCACUGAAGAUGCUCAUCUGCAGUUGCAGGCAGUUGAAACGGUUGGCCGUGGACAGCAUCAAUUUCACCGAUGAAGAUAUCAUUAAUAUUUUCGUGGAGCACGAUUUCUAUGCAUUGGAGGAUGUCUGGUUCACGUUGGCGCCUAACUUGACCGUGCAAUCCAUUGAGAUACUGAUGGACCGCUGUCCGGAAUUGCAGUCGGUGGGCCAGCUAAGUGGAUGGUCUCUCACACCCGAUGACUUGGCGUUGAUACGAGGACUACUGAAGAGCGGCAACUCUUGCCUUGUACUUACACCUAGCGGGUUUUUCCCUUGAAAGCUGUGAUUUUAAGCGUUUCACAUUAACUCACUUACCUAAACAUACCAACAAAAGCAAGCAAAUACUCACCCAGUCGUUAACGUCGUGAUUUAGCGAAAAUCUGCAGUCGCGGGAAAGUACGAAUAACGUUUGCAGUGAGGUCUUUGGAAAACGAGCAACUUUUUGAUGCGACUACAUCGGAUCGGAUCGGAUGUAUCUAUAUAUAUGUUCUUUGAAUUAUUUGAAAAUGUGAUAGUAAGAUAAAAUAAAUGUCCGUGUAGAUAAAAAGCGAACGAAACAUAUUAAAAACAA